AGAGUUGAUCCUGGCUAGGACGAACGCUGGCGGCGUGCUCAUACAUGCAAGUCGAACGAGAAGUUACCUCGGGUAAUGGAAAGUGGCGGACGGGUGGAGUAAUGUGUAGAGAAUCUGCCCUAGAGUGGGGGACAACAGUUGGAAACGACUGCUAAUACCGCAUAUGAGCGUAGCUGGAAUGCUAUUCUUGAAAACUUCGGUGCUCUGGGAUGAGUCUGCAUCUGAUUAGCUAGUUGGCGGUGUAAUGGACCACCAAGGCGACGAUCAGUAGCUGGUUUGAGAGGAUGAUCAGCCACAAUGGGACUGAGACACGGCCCAUACUCCUACGGGAGGCAGCAGUAGGGAAUUUUGCGCAAUGGGCGAAAGCCUGACGCCAGCAACGCCGCGUGAUUGAAAAAGCCCUUCGGGGUGUAAAGAUCUGUCAGUAGGGACGAAACUUGACGGUACCUACAGAGGAAGCAUCGGCUAACUCCGUGCCAGCAGCGGC
rnacentral:rRNA from 1 species